rnacentral:lncRNA from 1 species
CUCAGUGGUAGAGUGCUUACCUAACAUGCUCGAAUCUCUGGGUCCAUGCCUAGCACUGAAAUACACAAAUAAAUUAAAUGAAUACUCCCCAGGUUCCUCAGAGCCUGAAAAGGUGCACAGAGAUGCUGUGCCUUCAUUCAUGUGCUUGUUCGCUCAGUGAAUUUUGCUGAGCAUCUAGUAUGUACAAGGUCUGUGUUACAAACGGGGACAUAAUGGACAACACACAUACAGUCCCCCUUUCAUAGUGUGCGACCCAGUAUGACACUAGAUAUCAAACAUGACAGUGGAAUUAGUAAAUGAUCGCAGUAGCGAUUCAACAGAGAUGGGGUGGGUGGUAAGUGGCCUUCACUUGGACAUGGGCUCAGGGGAGGCAGCUGUAAGAGGGUGAGCAGGCCUGAGUGCUGCCUGGAAGGGCCAGGCAGGGAGGGACACACACUCCCUGCUGCUUUGCUUCUUCCUGUUGCCUCUCCCCAGGCGAGACAAACAGCACUGCUUCUGGGGCUGCACAGUCCCUGGUGCUGUGUCCACAGUGGGCUUCGGCCUCCUUGGGCCACAGCUGGUGGGAUGCUACCGUCAUAUGAUGGUGGCCCUUUAGCAGAAAGUUUUGAGCUCUUUCUCUUGGGUGUCAACAAGAAGAUCAGGGCAGGGAUAAGGUGAAUGGAACCUCCAGAGGUUGGGGGUGCAGGCAUGAGCAGUGCUGUCCAUCCCCCACAUUCCUUCAUCCCCCCUUUUGUGGCCAGGGAGGCUGCAGGUCAGUGCUAGAAUGGCAGCAGCAUUACAGCUAGACUUCCCUGUGCUCUGACCCCCCAGGGAAACCCCAGUCACACCAAGUCCAACUGUACAGAGCAGCACCUCAAGAAUUUGUGGGGGAAAUAAACUGAGAAGAACUAUGACGAGGUGAAAAGGCCACCCUUGUCUUCUUCAAGAGCGAUUUCUGACCACGCAGGCCACCCCUGCUCACACCCACCAUGCUGGGCUCAGGCCCAUGUGGUCACAGCAAAAGGAGUCGUGAUCGCCCCUGACCAGGUUCCUAACUGGUUGAAGACCUGAGUUUCAAUGUAGAUAGUGGAAUAAGCACUUAAAUAUAUAUACAUUGGAGUAUUUUAUGGACUGUUUGUGUCCCUAAAAGAUUCAUUUUUGAAGCCCUGUUAUGAUUUAGGUAUGAGGUAUCCCCCCAAAAAAAAUCAUGUGAGACAAUGUAAAAAUUUUCAGAAGUGAACAGAUUAUGAUAUAUAAUCCAAUUAUCGGAUCAAUCCCCUGAUAUGGAUCAACUGGGCAGUAACUGUGGGCAGGUAGGGUGUGGCUGGAGGAGACAGGUCACCAUGGGUGUGCCUUUGGGGUUUAUAUUUUGUUCCUAGAGAAUAGAACUCUCUCUGCUUCCUGGUUGCCAUGUCCGGAGCUGCCUUCCCUCCACCAGGACCUUCCACCACGACCUUCCUCCUUACCUGUGGCCCACAGCAACGAAGUCAGCUGUCCAUGGACUGAACCUCUGAACCCAUGAGCCAAAAUGAACUUUUCCUCCUCUAAGUUGUUCUUGUCAGGUUUUCGGGUCACAGUGAUGUAAAAGCUGACUAAAACAAGACCUAAUUGAUGUCAUUUGGAGAUGGGGCUUUUAGGAAGUAAUUAA